ensembl:lncRNA
CUCACCUCAUUUAGGGGCUGGCCCUGGAAGGGAAGGUCUUCUCCGUGGAGAUCUUUUCUCUGGAGUUUUUGGUGAGCCCUGAUCCUCCGAAGGAGAGACCUUAUGCUUCAGGAGAUAUGAAAAACAUCUAUCUGGAAUGAAGAGAUGGCAACAAGGUCACCAAAGGGAUGCAGCCAGAUGCAAAGGGCAGAAGCCCUACCACCGAGCACAGAAGUUUCUGAUAUGGUGAGGCACUCAGUCAAUAUGCUAAGGCUGAUCUUUAAGCAGUAGUUGGUUGAGCUGUGUAAUACAUACAUCUGGAAACUGCCUGCAUAUCACAGCGAAUAUGAGCAGAGCAGGCUGCUCCUAUAUUUGUGUCCCAUGUGUUAGCUUUGAUUUGAUUUUGUGUUUGGGUGGGAAAGGGAAAGAGGAAAUACUCCGACAUUUUCACAUGCCUUUACUUUUUAUUGACUCUGAGAAACAAUUCAAACAUCUUGUCUGUUCAAAUGAGAGGCUGUCAAAUGUCCCCAUGUCUUGCCUACCCACAGUCUUGGGUAUUCUCACAGAAAGUACCACAUAAUUCCCUCUACUCAACACUGGUGAGGCCACACCUUAAACACUGUGUUCAGUUUUGGGCUCCUCAAUGAAAAAAAGACGUUGAGGCUCUGGAGCAUGUUUAGAGAAGGGCAACUCCUGGUAAGGGAGUGAAGUGGCCUUAUGAGGAGUGGCUGAAGGAGCUGGGAUUGUUUAGUCUGGAGAAGAGAAGGCUCAGGGGAGACCUUAUCACUCUCUACAACUACCUCAGGGGAGGUUGUGGUGAGAUGGGAGUUGGCCUCUUCUCCCACGUAACUAGCAAUAGAACAAGAGAUAAUGACCUCAAGUUGCACCGGAGGAAAUUUAGGUUGGAUGUUAGGAAAAAUUUCUUCUCUGAAAGAGUGUUUAGGUGCUGGAACUGCUGCCCAGGGAGGUGGUGGAGUCACUGUCCCUGGAAGAAGAAAUGUUUAGAUGUUGCAGUAAGAGACAUGGCUUAGUGAGGAAAUAUUGGUGGUAGGUGAAUGGUGGGACUGAAGAUCUUGGAGGUCUUUUCAAGCCUUGGUGAUUCUAUGAUUCUGUGAGUCUAUAAUGACAUUCCCAUCUCUGAAAAAAACUACCGCAGUUAUCAUAGAAUCACACAAUCAUAGAAUGGCUUGGGUUGGAAAGGACCUCAAAGAUAAUUUUGUUCUAGCCCCCUGCUGCUGGCUGGGCUGCCAGCCCUGCCAGCAUCCUUGGAAGCUGGUUGACACCAAAAGCAAAGGAAGAAAUUACAGAUCCAGGUCUUCUUUUUUGCCACGUCUUUGAAAACUGGUAGAUGGCAAGAAGCCAUCUUCUCUGCACAAAAUACUCAGCUUCUCAUUCUGCCUACUGCUCCGUGCUGGUGAAACAAGCAAGAGUCAGACAACCUCCUGCUGUAUCUCUCCAGUCUGGCCCUUGCAUUUCUGUCCUGAUUUGAAUCCAAAAUAGUUUAGGUCCUCCAAAAAAAAAACUGUCACUUCUGCAAAAGAUUUUAUGUCCUGGAUAAAGAUAAAUGUCAGUAUCUUCUAAAACCACAGAUUUAAAAGCUCACAGAUCCUAAAGCUCUUAGAGUCUAUGGAAACAAAAGGAUUAAAAUCAAAACGCUGGUGGUGAUUAAUUCCACCCAGAUUAACAAAAUGACAGCUUCUGUUAAUUGUCCUUAGGACUGGGAGGAAAUGAAUCAGCGCUGCCCUGCUGGAAGUGGCUCAGGACAGUGGCUGCUCUGGGCCUCAGGUUCUGGAGGAUGAGGCUGGGGCUGAGGAGCUGCUGAUUUCUCUGCUGGCAGGUGAAAGGAGCGGCAGCAAUGACCAGUGAAAAGCUGGGGGAGGAAGGGUUUCGAAGCCCAUGGCAAGGGUUGGUGCUUGAGAGUCUCUGUGAUGUCAGCAGGGCCAUCCAGGAGCCUGGGGAGGUCAGCAAUAAACCAGAGCCCGAGUAGUUACUCCCCCUGCACCAGGGCAGCGAGGCAGGCAGAGGGCAGCCACUUCCAGGGAAACACCGGGGCUCUGCCUCCUGCAGAGGUCAGGCCCUGAUGUGUUGGUCUUCAGGAGUUCUGCAGCAUACCCAGAGCCAUGGGCUGCCCCAGACUCAGGCCCACUUAGAUUAUUCCAAAAAGUUCCCAAAGUUUUUAUGUGAAUAGCGCUUUUGGAGAAAAUCAAAGGUGAUAAUGGUAAAAUCCACAAAUUCUAAACCAGCAAUACCAAGCUGUUCAGUGACCUUCAUGGUUGCAUUAUUGCACACUGUGCUCAUACACAUUGCACUGUGGCCUGAACAUCUUGUUUCCCAUAAUAAUUCAAUGCAGUGAACCAUAGACAAAGAGAAAGGAUCUUUUCCUCCCCAGCCCUUGGCAGAAUUGCUGGUCACACAUGCUGCAGGGCUAAUGAAGCUGUUCCUUCACUUCUGAGCAGGUUCUCAUUUGAUGUCAGUUCGUAAAGCUCCACAAAUGAAGUCUGCUCAUACCUGGAGCCCAUUCCCCUGCACUGAAGUAUUAGGUUACAGUUUAUUAGGCAGAAUGGAUAUUAUGUGCAUUGUUUUUCAUUUUAUAUGGUUUUUCAUUUUAGAUUUAUCCAGAGAAG